rnacentral:rRNA from 1 species
UACGUAGGUGGCAAGCGUUGUCCGGAUUUACUGGGCGUAAAGAGCGCGCAGGCGGUCGUUCAAGUCGCGUGUGAAAGCCCCCGGCUCAACUGGGGAGGGUCACGCGAUACUGACCGACUCGAAGGCAGGAGAGGGUAGUGGAAUUCCCGGUGUAGUGGUGAAAUGCGUAGAUAUCGGGAGGAACACCAGUGGCGAAGGCGACUACCUGGCCUGUUUCUUGACGCUGAGGCGCGAAAGCUAGGGGAGCAAACGGG